GGGUACGUGGAGGAUAGGUAGGGUAGGCAGAUGGGUGGGGUUAGACAGGGAGGUGAGGUGGCAGGACUGGUGCUUCCACAUAAACUGACAUGCAAAUGCUGCCACAAGAGGACACACUCCGGGAGGAAGUAACACGUCAUCGCAACACUGUAACCAACUAGGUGGUCAGUCCUAGCCCAUGACGCCCGGUUUCUUUUGUUAACCUUCAUGUGUCCAGGCACUAUACAAGGCCAUUUAUUUUGUGAAGUUUGUUA